GACGAACGUUGGCGGCGUGCUUAAUACAUGCAAGUCAACUGAAGCACCGGUAGUAAUACUGGUGUGGAGGUGGCGCACGGGUGAGUAACACGUAGGUAAUCCGCCUUCAGGUCUGACAUAACCCCGAGAAAUCGGGGCUAAUAGCAGAUGAUGCAGCGGCUUGACAUCAAGACAGUUGUUAAAGCUUCGGCGCCUGAAGAUGAGCCUGCGUCUGAUUAGCUAGUUGGCGGAGUAAUGGCCCACCAAGGCUACGAUCAGUAACUGGUCUGAGAGGAUGAUCAGUCACACUGGAACUGAGACACGGUCCAGACUCCUACGGGAGGCAGCAGUAAGGAAUAUUGCUCAAUGGGAGAAAUCCUGAAGCAGCAACGCCGCGUGAGGGAUGAAGGGCUUUUGCUCGUAAACCUCUGUAGUGAGGGAAAAAUUUCCAUCUGUGGAGUAUGAUGGUACCUCAAAAGUAAGCCCCGG
rnacentral:rRNA from 1 species